rnacentral:sRNA from 1 species
GCCAGGCACAGUGGCGCAUGCCUGUAAUCCCAGCAGCUCGGGAGGCUGAGACAGGAGGGUCGCAAGUUCAACGACAGUCUCAGCAAAGGCGAGGUGCUAAGCCACUCUGUCUCUA